AGUAGGAUAGCUGGGUCAAAUGGUGGUUCCAUUCCAACUUUUUAAAGGAAUCUCCAUACUGCUUUCCAGAGUGGUUGUACCAAUUUGCAAUCCCACCAGCAAU
rnacentral:pre_miRNA from 1 species